UAAAAAAAUUUCACAACCUUUACUUUACACUUUAUGAAUGAACAUAAAAAUCAGAUCUAUUAGGAUCUACUAGGUCCGUGGUCUCGUAAAUUGAAGGGUCCUUCCCUCAAUUAUUCUCUCUUUUAGCUCCUAUCUGACCAAUCUUGUUAUAGAAUUUUUCGUAUGAUUUGAGAUAAGACAAAUCUUAUAAGAAAGAGUCAUAUUUCCAUCACAAAUAGUCUUCGUAUUUAUUUGCUUGGACCUAUAAAUUUUUGGGUAAGUUUUAAUAGGAGUAGAAGAAAAAUUCAUCACGUGAAAAGUGAUUCAACUUAUCCACAUUCAACAUUAGUGAUGUUUUUGCGUUUUAGCUUUGAAAAAUUUUCAACAAAAAAAAGGGAAAAGCAGGCACUGGGACAGUUUGGCAAAAGAUGUGCUUACUUACUAAGGUAGAAGUAUGGAUUUCAGAUCUCUAUUUGAAAUCUCAAAUGCUUUAUUUGUCAAGUUAUAGUGGAGAUUUAGGACAUCUGGAACCAUAUGGUCUACUUUUAUGUGAAAUAAAUACUAUAAGAAGAAACUCCUACUAUGAUUUCAUGGAAAGAGGGUUCACAAUUAUGGAAGAAAAUGCUGGAAGCUAGGGAUGAGGUGGAGCAUAGUAUCUGGUGGGAACCAAAAAAUGGUCAACUAGUUUUUGAAUGACAGGUGGAAUGAAGAUUUUCUUAAUCAACAAUUAUCAAGUUAUUUUUGUAAAUCACAUUCUUGCGGAAUAUCCUAGAAGAUUGCAAACAGAGAAGAGGGACAAACCUUGGUGGUUGCUUACUACUAAUUGGAACUUUUGAGUAAAAAGUUUUUCGGAUUUUGAUGUGUCAUGGUUUCAUGACACCUUCGAUGCUCAAAAUAAAGAAAUUAUGAAGGAACUUAGGUACUUUUACUCGGUAUGAUAUGUUUUUGUAUUGAUUGUGCAGGAAAAUAGGUUUCAAAGGAAAAACUCAGAAAAGGAUGAAAAAUUUGCUAAGUGAAGAGAAGUUGGUGACUUAUGAGUGUGGUCUACGAAUCAUUAAUUAGAUCCACGACUUGUGAUUGGGGUUCGUGAGUUGACUUCUGAAGCUGAAGGAAAAGUCUGAUUUCUACAAAUUCAUGAGUCGUGACUUCAAACCACGACCCGUGGGUGGCAGUCAUGUCAUAUACUGAAGACUGAUACUGAGCCUGAUUUUCAUGAUAAAGACCUAUGACUUAUGGGUCUGAUCCACAACUCCACCCAUGACUCGUAGCAUGUCCCGACUUAGUUUUCUUACAUAGUUUAUGAUAAGAUUUGUUUUGUAUCUAUAAAUACUCUCAUUGUAUUUUACGAUUAGUUUACACACUUUUACAUUAUUUUGAGUUUCUUAGACACA